GAGUUUGAUCCUGGCUCAGAAUGAACGCUGGCGGCGUGCUUAACACAUGCAAGUCGAACGAUGAACCUUAGCUUGCUAAGGGGAUUAGUGGCGCACGGGUGAGUAAUAUAUAGAUAACGUACCUCUUAGUUUGGGAUAGCCAUUGGAAACGAUGAUUAAUACUAGAUACUCCUUCUGAUUCUAAUAUCAGUCGGGAAAGUUUUUCGCUAAGAGAUCGGUCUAUAUCCUAUCAGUUAGUUGGUGAGGUAAUGGCUCACCAAGGCAAUGACAGGUAGCGGGUUUGAGAGGAUGAUCCGCCACACUGGUACUGAGACACGGACCAGACUCCUACGGGAGGCAGCAGUGAGGAAUAUUGCACAAUGGGCGAAAGCCUGAUGCAGCAACGCCGCGUGGAGGAUGACGCAUUUCGGUGUGUAAACUCCUUUUAUAUGCCAAGAAAAUGACGGUAGCAUAUGAAUAAGCACCGGCUAACUCCGUGCCAGCAGCCGCGGUAAUACGGAGGGUGCAAGCGUUAUUCGGAAUCACUGGGCGUAAAGGACGCGUAGGCGGGUUGCCAAGUCUGAUGUG
rnacentral:rRNA from 1 species